rnacentral:lncRNA from 1 species
AUGUAGUUUGGUCUGACAUUUGCAGGAAGGAGAGGAGGCACAGAAGCAAAUGUUGCCCUUCACCAUUCCCUGAGCCAUCUAUGCCAAAUGGCCUAGAGCACGCAAGACAGAAAAUCUAAGACAACCAAACAAACCAUUUUCCUUCAGAAAGGGAAGUGGAUCCAAAUAGUGUCUUCUGCCCUCUAAUGACCUACCUGCCCCAUGAGCCUCACUCUUCAUUGCCUAGGCCAGCCACCAUUUUGUGAGCUAUCCUAUGAAGAAACCCAUAUGGCAAGAAACUAAGAGCAGCUUCUGGAUAAUAACCAAUGAGGAAGUGAGGCACUCAGUCCAAUAGCUCAUAAGUAACUGAAUCCUGCCAGCAACUACAGCCCCAGCCAAUACCUUGAUUGCAGCCUUGAAAGAAACCCAGAGAAAGAAUGGACCCAACUAGACCAUGCUGUACU